CCCCGGCGGGGCUCAGAGCAGAAGCCGCUGAUGCGCUGUGGUCGCCUUGUGGUUCGGGCCCAGAGGCUCAUGCAGGCGCUUGUGGGGAGCAUGAUGACUGGUGAGCCGAUUCGGAGAAUUUCUGCAGGUUUUGUAAUGAGAGGUGACAGCUCACAGCGGGAGACGACAAGGUGCUUGGGUGCGGGGACAACGGAGGGCAGGGACAGAGGGCAGGCCUCCCACUCGGGCCACGGAGCGCAGGGCACGUGGGGCGGUGUCUGAGCGCAAUGAAUCCCCUUGGAAGAACUCACUUGUUCAGGGCUGGGGUAGGGGAGUGAUGAGAACAGAGAAGAGCAGAGGUCCGGCCCCUCCUGACGAGCCGGGCCUGCUCUGCGACGGGGCUCUGCCCCACGUGUCUAGGGCUGCGGGCUGCCUGUCAUGAGGGACAGCUCUAGGCUAUUCCAGCAACCACUCCCUGGCCCCCUCCAUCACCGUGGGGACACAGUCCUGGCCUGGGCACAGGACACCACAAUAAGCAGCACAGAGGGGGGAUGGCUGGGAGGGAGAGCCUGACUGGAGUCUAGACCGGGUGGUUCGGACACAUUCACACAGUAGACGGUCCCUCUGACAGGGACCCAUCAUUAUUCCGUGGCUGUGGGACCCUAUCUUCCUUCCUUAACGUGACCUUCAACACUGGCGCACCCUGGGCCUGCCUACCUUUUCAGCAUCAUCCCCUCUACCUGCCCCAUUGACAUGGCUGAACUACCAGACUGUUGCCCGGCACACUACAUACCCACUCUGAUGCCCCAGGGCCUUUGCACUUGCCAGCUCCUCUGCCCAUAAGGCUUUUCCCUUUCCUUCUUGCCUGGCAGAUCUUUCAGGAACCAGUUCAGAUACCUUCUCUUCUGUGAAGCCUUCCCUUGGCCCCAGAGCAGAACUCACCCCAGGCCCUCCAGUAGUACAGUCACUUACUUUGCACACGUGUCUGUCAAAACCAUUUGUUUUCCUGGCUGUCUCCCUUCCAGGCUGUGAGGAAAGGGACCCUGCCUUAAUUUACCUCCUGCUCCCAAAGUUCCAGUCAGAGUCUGGAAUAUGGCAGGCAUGUCAUGGAGGCAUGGAAUGCAUGCAUGGGAAGGAUGAAGGGCACAUCCAGGCGGGGGAGAGUGCCUCCUUUGAAUCUGGGCCCCCAGUCCUAAGAUCUGCCCCUCCUCCUCCCCUCCCGUCUUCCAGAAAGCCUUCUAUAUUCCCUCACAUGCCGGAGGCCCCAUUCAAGGCCCUCCCCUCCACUCUCAGACUCUCACACCUUGGAUCCCAAGUAAGCGCUUGAUCCCUGUGAAGCGGUUUGGACCCCAAAGCCUAGAGGGGGGGGUCACAGGAACCCAGCGUUCCCCUUAGAAAUCUAUCAGAAGGUGACAGAUGCAUCCCCUUGGCAAGCCCCAGCCCGCCCUGCUGCUGUGUUCCCUCCCUCAGAGAAUUCCCUCCAGCCCGGGACCGGGAACCCUGAGCACCGCUCCCACGACCAGGUGAGGGCGGUACCCGGCCCCAGAAAAGGGUUUAGCCUCCAGCAGCCACCAAGAAUGGGCACCAGCCAUGCCUAGAGGGGACGGGCAAGGCAAGGAGGUGUGCAGAGGCUGACAGGAACUCGUUUAAACCAGACUCAGCCAGUUUUGCUCUGUCUGAGCGGUGGAGGAAGUGAGUGGUUCACACCUGUGGGGACCCGUAACAGCCGCCACAUCAGAGGGCCAUCAGGAGGACUGCAUGGGGAGGGCACACGCCAGGUUUAACCCAGUCACUGGCAUGUAGUAAGUGCUCAGUAAACGUUGGUGGUGCUGUUGGUUUGAUCCCACCCCCCAAACACAAGCGCAAGACUCUCCUCCUUUACGUUCGAGUCACACGCAACGCGAUCCCCCGGCCCCGGGAGAGCCAGAGUCCCUCAGAAGCUGCUUCAUCAACCGCACCUCCCAGCCAGAUCAACAUCACCUACGCGACCGUUGGCACCCCUGGGUCACCCACGAGGAACCCUGCCCCUGGGCUCAGGUAUCAGUUGUAUCCCUGUAUUCUGACCACUGCUUCCUCAACGUUUUGCUGCGGUUGAAGUUUUUGAGGAAAUGCACGUCACAUGUAAUUAACCAUUUGAGCGUACAAGUCAGUGCUAUUCAGUGCACUCACCACGUGGUGCGACCACCAGCUCGCUCUACUUUGAGGACUUUUCAGGGGCGCCUGGGUGGCUCAGUCGGUUGAGCGUCCGAC